UUUGUCUUUUGGCAAAUGUGAGAUGCASUGUAUGGAAUGUCGCAUUUCUAGUAUGAKAAAUUAANGAUUUAGGUCCKUCUUAAAUGAGGCCAUUUACCCNAAGAGGGNGCCGGGCCCGUAUAACGUUAAUGAUUASUAUAUGACNUUUCCAAAGAGUCGUGUUGCUUGAUAGUGCAGCACUAAGUGGGUGGUAAACUCCAUCUAAAACUAAAUAUAACCAUGAGACCGAUAGUAAACAAGUACCGUGAGGGAAAGUUGAAAAGAACUCUGAAUAGAGAGUUAAAUAGUACGUGAAACUGCUUAGAGGUUAAGCCCGAUGAACCUGAAUAUCCGUUAUAGAAAAUUCAUCAUUAUGAUUUUAAUAUUUAUAAUAUUAUAAUAAUGGUGUGCAUUUUUUCUAUAAAAGGACAUUGUAAUCUAUUAACAUAAUUAUAUUUAUCAUAAGAUCAAUUCGCGAAAGUUUAUUCAAAUUAUUUUGUUUUUUUCAAAUUAAUAUCGAAUAAAUGCAUKUGAUUUGAUAAAGUGUUGAUAGAUUUAUUAUAUAUAGUGCUUAAAUAUUUAUAUUUUAUAAUAGCAUAUUAAUCAKUGAUUUUUAUGUUCAUUAUAUGCACUUAUAUGAUUAACAAUGCGAAAGAUUCAGGAGACCUUCGGGACCUGUCUUGAAACACGGACCAAGGAGUCUAACAUAUUUGCAAGUUAUUGGGUAUUAAAACCUAAUAGCGAAAUUAACAUAACUAUUAUAAUGGGAUUAGUUUUUAGCCUAUUUAUAGUCUAUUAAUUCAAUCCCGGGGCGUUCUAUCAGUUAUACAUAAUAAUAUUUAUAUUAUUUAUGCCUCUAACUAGAGCGUACCUUGAGCAUAUAUGCUGUGACCCGAAAGAUGGUGAACUAUACUUGAUCAGGUUGAAGUCAGGGGAAACCCUGAUGGAAGACCGAAACAGUUCUGACGUGCAAAUCGAUUGUCAGAAUUGAGUAUAGGGGCGAAAGACCAAUCGAACCAUCUAGUAGCUGGUUCCCUCCGAAGUUUCCCUCAGGAUAGCUGGUGCAUUUAAAAAUUAUGUAAAAUAAUCUUAUCUGGUAAAGCGAAUGAUUAGAGGCCUUAGGGUCGAAACGACCUUAACCUAUUCUCAAACUUUAAAUGGGUAAGAACCUCACCUCUAACAGGUAAGAAGGUUGGGGGUGGGAUAUAAAAUGCACAGUGGGCCACUUUAGGUAAGCAGAUCUGGCGGUGUGGGAUGAACCAAACGUAAUGGUACGGUGCCCAAAUUAACAACUCAUGCAGAUACCAUGAAAGGCG
rnacentral:rRNA from 1 species